ACAUCAGCUCCUGGAAACAAAUGCACUUAACCAGAAAAACAGGGACAUCAACCAGCAAAGAUGCAUCCUCAUUUAAUAGAGCUUGAAAUUACUAUAAUCUGUAAAGUACAGCGAGAAGAAGAAGUUUCACCUGCCUGCACAUCUGUCGUUGACUCUCCAUCUGACUUGGAGGGACUCUGAGGGACCAACCUGAGCCUGAGAAGAGGCAAGAUUCCCCUUCAAGGACACACUGGGAACUUACGGACCUCUUUCUCCAUGGUGCAGAGCGCAGAGGCUACCUGAGAAUAUCCAGAGACUACAGAGGUCAUCAAGUUGACGCAUCAAUGUUUACAUGUGAACAAACAGACGCAUAAUAGCUCUUGAGCUUGCCAUUGGGAAGUGAAAAUCAACUGCUUGAAUAAAUGUAAGGACUCAGAACACCAGACAUGGGUGCUCCAAUCCACGUAGUGUUGAGGCAGUGAAGUUUGUGUUCCAGGAACUUCAGAACUCCUGAAUGUAUUGGUGUUGAUAAAAGGUGAUGAGAUGAAGUAGAAUGACCAUAAACUUAGAGGUAGACAUCACCUUGUGACUCAACAGCAGCCAAUAAGAUGGAAAUAAAGGCCAUGAAGUUAUCGGAUGGCAUCUACAAGGAAUACUUAGAUGAGGAGGUGACUCUGGUAGCAAUUGUUCUUUUGUCUUUCUCACCUUCCUUCUUGUCCUGUCUGGGAUGCUGAAGUGAUGGCUGGUAUACAGAUGCCCUGUUGUGAUGUUGAGAUAAACAUGAGAAUAAAAGUCGGCGAUUACAGAUGGCAGAGAAGAGAGAGAAAGAUAGGAUGUAGGUGGAUAUUGACGGAACUAAGUUUCUAUUGCACAAGUUCUACCACCAACCUCUGGACUUCAUGAUAUGUGAGGGAGAAAUAAACUCCUAUUUUAGAAGAGAUCUAUGUUACCUGCAACUGAACGGAAUGCUUAAUUGGCACAUCCUAUGUGCUCCAAACCUUCCUUAAUUUCUGUGUGUAAGGCAUACUUAGUCUUUACCCAUUAUUCUGUUCACAUUCAUUCACUUGAUCAGCCUCCCAACUCUAUGGUAAAGAGUUUACUACAGUUUACUCUAUUAGUAAGGGAGAUUCUGGAGCAAGCCCCACAAAUCAUAGAUUGAAUACCCAUUCAUUAAGAGAGAGAUUUAAAGAUACUUCUAUCCAAACACAUUUUAAAUUUCCAGCACCUUUGAGGUGGUGGAGGUUCAUGGUGGUUGAUAGGGUUUAAAUGACUUGUGAUUCAAGCUCCAUAUUACAAUGUAACAGUGCAAAAGUUCAUUUUUUUAAAUUUAUUUUACUUUAAGUUCUGGUAUACAUGUGUAGAACAUGCGGGUUUGUUACAUAGGUAUACAUGUGCCAUGGUGGUUUGCUGCACCUAUCAAACCGUCACCUAGGUUUUAAGAACCACAUGCAUUAGGUAUUUGACCUAAUGCUCUCCCUCAUGUUGCCCCCCAACUCCCUGACAGGGCCCAGUGUGUGAUGUUCCCCUCCCUGUGUCCAUGUGUUCUCAUUGUUCAACUCCCACUUAUGAGUGAGAACAUGUGGUGUUUGAUUUUCUGUUCCUGUGUUAGUUUGCUGAGAAUGAUGGCUUCCAGCUUCAUCCAUGUCCCUGCAAAGGACACGAACUCAUUCUUUUUUAUGGCUUCAUAAUAUUCCAUGAGUCUGGAUUUGGUUACAGAUAGAGCUGGACAAGCCUUAGCUAUAUCUAAUGGCUUUUGACAUGUUAUAUCAAUUUCUUACUGCUUUUGUAAAUGAAUAUAUUAAGAAGAAAAAAUUACAAAUGACCCUUUCUUCACAAACUUUUAGGGUAAUCAAGUUCAGUUAUUAAAAAAUGGAUGUUUGCAACAUUCAUAGUAAUUAUUUUCAGAAAAUUAAAAAUGAUUAAAAAUUAUAUUUUCAUCCCAUUCAGAUAUUAUAUAUUUAACUGUGAGAUAAUUCUCAGAGAUAAAUGUCAACUUUUAAAAAAUGCUAAAUAAAUUAAAUCAAAAUAUCCCCUCUAAAAUAAAUAAAUUAGCUCCGAUUAUUUCUUCUUUUUAAAUUUUUCCUUAUAGUUGUAAAAAUAAAGUGAACGUUUUGGCUCAUUUCCUCAUUAAAGUUUGAAUUUUCCAGUCA